GGCGACCGGCAAACGGGUGCGGAACACGUACAGAACCUUCCUUCGAGCGGGGAAUAGCCCAGAGAAAUUUGGAUUAAUACCCCAUAGUAUAUUGGAGUGGCAUCACUUUGAUAUUAAAGAUUUAUCACUUGAAGAUGGCUGUGCGGCUGAUUAGGUAGUUGGCGGGGUAACGGCCCACCAAGCCUGCGAUCAGUAACUGGUGUGAGAGCACGACCAGUCACACGGGCACUGAGACACGGGCCCGACUCCUACGGGAGGCAGCAGUAAGGAAUAUUGGUCAAUGGACGAAAGUCUGAACCAGCCAUGCCGCGUGGAGGAUGAAGGUCCUCUGGAUUGUAAACUUCUUUUAUAUGGGACGAAAAAAGGGUUUUCUAACUCGUCUGCGGUCCAUAGAAAACCCGGCU
rnacentral:rRNA from 1 species